rnacentral:rRNA from 1 species
AUUGAACGCUGGCGGCAGGCCUAACACAUGCCAGUCGAGCGGUUGAAGUGAGCUUGCUCCUGGAUUCAUCUGCGGACGGGUGUGUAAUUCCUAGGAAUCUGCCUGUUUCUGGGGGAUAACUUCCGGAAACGGGCGCUAAUACCGCCUACGUCCUGAGUGUGAAAGUGGUGGAUCUUCGGACCUCUCGCUAUCUGAUGAGCCUAGUUCGGAUUAUCUAGUUGGUUGGGUAAAGGCCUAACUAUGCGACUAUCCGUAACUGGUCUGAGAGGAUGAUAAGUCAAACUGGAAGGGAGACACGGUACAGACGCAGACGGGAGGGAGCAGUGGGGAAUAUUGGACAAUGGGCGAAAGCAUGAUCCAGCAAUGCCGAGUGGGUGAAGAAGGUAUUCGGAUUGUAAAGCACUGUAAGUUGGGAGGAAGGGAAGUAAGUUAAGAACUUGCUGUUUUGACGGUAACAACAGAAUAAGCACCGGCUAACUUCGUG